rnacentral:rRNA from 1 species
CGGGUGAGUAACACGUAUCCAACCUGCCGUCUACUCUUGGACAGCCUUCUGAAAGGAAGAUUAAUACAAGAUGGCAUCAUGAGUCCACAUGUUCACAUGAUUAAAGGUAUUCCGGUAGACGAUGGGCAUGCGUCCUAUUAGUUAGUUGGCGGGGUAACAGCCCACCAAGACGAUGAUAGGUAGGGGUUCUGAGAGGAAGGUCCCCCACAUUGGAACUGAGACACGGUCCAA